rnacentral:rRNA from 1 species
UACGGAGGGUGCGAGCGUUAUUCGGAAUUACUGGGCGUAAAGCGCGUGUAGGCGGGGGGACAAGUCUGAUGUGAAAGCCCUGGGCUUAACCUGGGAAGCGCAUUGGAAACUGUUUUUCUUGAGUACUGGAGAGGAAGGGGGAAUUCCCGGUGUAGAGGUGAAAUUCGUAGAGAUCGGGAGGAAUACCAGUGGCGUAGGCGCCCUUCUGGACGGUAACUGACGCUGAGACGCGAAAGCGUGGGGAGCAAACAGGAUUAGAUACCCUCGUAGUCC